rnacentral:rRNA from 1 species
GACGAACGCUGGCGGCGUGCUUAACACAUGCAAGUCGAACGGAAAGGCCCUGCUUUUGUGGGGUGCUCGAGUGGCAAACGGGUGAGUAACACGUGAGUAACCUGCCCUUGACUUUGGGAUAACUUCAGGAAACUGGGGCUAAUACCGGAUAGGAGCUCCCGCUGCAUGGUGGGGGUUGGAAAGUUUCGGCGGUUGGGGAUGGACUCGCGGCUUAUCAGCUUGUUGGUGGGGUAGUGGCUUACCAAGGCUUUGACGGGUAGCCGGCCUGAGAGGGUGACCGGCCACAUUGGGACUGAGAUACGGCCCAGACUCCUACGGGAGGCAGCAGUGGGGAAUAUUGCACAAUGGGCGGAAGCCUGAUGCAGCAACGCCGCGUGCGGGAUGACGGCCUUCGGGUUGUAAACCGCUUUCGCCUGUGACGAAGCGUGAGUGACGGUAAUGGGUAAAGAAGCACCGGCUAACUACGUG